ACGGGUGAGUAAUGUAUAGGUAACAUGCCUCUUACUAAGGGAUAACAGAUGGAAACGUCUGCUAAUACCUUAUAUGCCUUUAUAACUAAAGUUAGCAAGGGAAAGAUUUAUUGGUAAGAGAUUGGCCUGUAUGGUAUCAGUUAGUUGGUGAGGUAAUGGCUCACCAAGACAAUGACACCUAACUGGUUUGAGAGGAUGAUCAGUCACACUGGAACUGAGACACGGUCCAGACUCC
rnacentral:rRNA from 1 species